GCCGAUGUGGCGAAAUUGGUAUACGCGUUGGACUUAAAAUCCAAUGGAAGUAAAACCUUCCGUAUCGGUUCGAGUCCGAUCAUCGGCA
rnacentral:tRNA from 1 species